UUAUGGAACGGAGUGAGUACCUAAGUUUACAAUUAACACUAGUAAACGUGCACAAGACACGUAUGGGCAAAUAUACUACCUUCGUACCAAAACAUAAGACAUUUUUAGGCUAAAAUAGCCUACCAAUAUGUCUUAUAUGUGGUACGGAGCUAAUCUCUAUUUUUAAUGGAGCAGUUGGUAGUCUCCGCCGGUCAAUUUUCGUCCCACCUCCGCUGUUUUUUUUUCGUCCUAAAAAAGUCUACGAAAUAUAACCUACGAAAUUUAACCAGAGACAACUAUGACUAGCAAACAAAAAAUCGGACGACGCCCUAGCCUCCCUCGCACGAAAAAAAACCCUCCUCUCGAUCCACCCCUGGCGCUGCGCCCAUCUCUCGCUCCGCCGCCGCCGCUGCCGCCCCUGCUUCCCUCCUGCUCAGCCACCUCCACCGCUCCCACCCUUCUCCCCAUUAUCAGAUCCGCUUGCUCGUCAAGGUUAGGCGGCGAAGCUCCACGUCCGCGAAGCGCACGUGCUCGUCAAGGAAGCGGCUCCCGGAUCUGAGAUCGCGCGGCCGUGACGGAAGGGGCUCGAGGUGGCCGCCGAAGACCAAGCCGUUCACGCAAGCCUUGGACACGAUCCUCCCGACGCAUGCACUCCUCACGUCAUCGCGCUGCCGUUCUCUUCUUCUCUCCGAUCUCCUCGCCCUGCCUGACGACGCCGAGGCCCUCCGAGGUCCAGGUCGCUGUGCGGCGUGCACCGUGAGCCCUCAACUAGCGCGCGUGUGGCCACUGCAUCAGGUAACAACCUCCACCACAACUCCACAAGCCCCAUUGCAAGUUUGUUUUUUCAUCAUGUGCUCAAGACUGAAAGAAUUCUGUUGUAUUUAGGGCAUGUACGGUUGUGCCAGUAAAGCUAUUUGAUAUAUGCCACUAUAGAACUACUAUCAGCCUUUUCAUGUCCCUGCAAAAGGGGUUUGCAUUAUGUAUGUUCUUGUUGUACAUCAAUGAGAAUAGCAAGAACAGCAGAGGAAUCGAUGGCAAAAAUAAGGAGCGACAUUCUUAUUAUUUCAAAGGAAGGCAUCAAGUAGAUUUAGAUUCAUGUGAGUUUUUGGAACUAAAGCAUCAUACAACGUAUGAUGAUCUAAUUAUAUUCACAAGUAAUUUCUUUAUGAACAGGUAGAAUGACUAUGGGAAGAUUAUCUUUUGAGGUAGUAUGCCAACCUUAUUCAUGUACUUUUGUGCUAAGAAGUUUGCAUUAGUGGUAUAUUUUCCAUACAAUUUUUAGAGCCGCUCCUCUCCCCUCCCUGGCCGGAGGAAUCCCCACAUCCCCAAGCUCGACGGGCUUGCCAGACGACUGAUUGAGGUCCUCGCCAUAGCCACUCACACGGCCGAUGAGUCCCGUAGGCUGCCGAUGUCACCAACCGUCGCGCGCCGCCGGUCUGCCUAGGCCACUGCCAGCUGCGGGCGGCCAGCUGGGUCGAACUCCAUGCAUGUUCCAUGCCGGCCAAACGAGACCGCCCUCCACGCCGGGACGCUGACACGCUGGCCUGCCCGUCCCUUGCUCCACGUCCCGGCCUGCACGUCCCCUGCUCCGGACGGACGCACCAAACUCCACAACUUCCCGGCAUCCGACCACGGGCAGACGCAUUUUCUUCAGGUUCGCACAACUUCCCUGUCGCCAAUCAAUGGACCUGCAUUGACACAUUUCGCUCUACCAACACUGCAUACAAACGUGACUUAAUGUUAUCGUGGCUUAGAUGCCCUCUCAAAUUCUUGCUUGACUUCUUGGUUUUGUAUGCUUGGAUGUAUGUUUCAGUUCCUACAUGGUAUUUCUCAUGUGGAGUUGAAACCACAUUUGGUUGGUCCAAUAGCAAAUAAUCAUAUGUUUCACUCUGAAAUCAUAUUGCAUAUAGAGUGAUGUUAUGUUCUUGUGCAAAUUACUGCACACAUAUACAUGGAGUUACCUGAAAAAGUCUCACACUUGUAGAGUUGGCUCCUGCAAGUAACACUAUCACUCGCUUGUAGAGUUUGCAAGUGGUGAUAAUUGUCAUACUACUAGGUAACAGCCUAACUCGAAUCAGCCUUGACCUUGUAUAAUAUAUAUAGUUAUUUGGUGCAUGGUAUUUUUUAGUGAAUUUGAUCAAAACUUUGUUAUCUUAAGUACAUUUGUACUUUCAUUGUUUAUUCAAAUAAAUUUCCCAGUAAGUUGAUUUUCCAGCAUGGUCAUAACACUGACAUUAUGAAUUGAUUUGUGAAGCACAAAAACAGUGGGGAGGGCUCCUUUGUAUCCCUAGACCCACACCCACACCCGACCGCCAUCUCCCACUUUCCUCAGUAUCACGACCUGAUGCGACGUUGGCAGCGCAAUCAGUCGGAGGAGGACAGCGGUAGCGAUGACGGCUCUAUGAUGGGGAAAGGUCGCUCAUCGUCACGGCACCAGCAAUUCCACGAUCGCAUAAUACCCGCAUAUUGAUGACCUCCAGGACUCUCCGGCCUCCUCCCUCUAGGUACCUCUCCAAACCCUAACCGUCUCUGAGGUUCACAGUUUACUACUAUACUACUAUUGUUUAAUUAGAUGGUAACAUAAAACUUUGAGUGUCUGAUAGGAGUUCUUAUUCAUAGUUUGAGAUGCUAACUGGGUUCUCUCUGUCUCUCACAAGUUUGUCCUUGUGUUAUCUCUUUAUUUAUGGUACUCCCUCCAUUUCUGAAUAUAAUACCUUUUAGAGAUUUCACUAUAGACUACAUACGUAACAAAAUGAGUAAAUCUACACUCUGAAGUAUGUCUAUAUACAUCCGUAUGUAGUCCAUGAUGGAAUCUCUAAAAGGUCUUAUAUUUAGGAACAGAGGGAGUAAAACAAUGCCUAGAAUGAAGAAAUGAUGAAUUGUAUUGUACACAUCAUUGUAGUUAAAAAUUAUGUCUAAAAUCGAUCAUCACUUGGGAUGCUGCCAACUUGCAGGGUCGAUGAGACAUUAAAUUGCCAUAUUGCUUUUCCCUCUUCUUCACGUGUUAGGAAUAUAUAUAUCUUUAACAAUAGAAUUUAAUAUUUGUGGUUUCACAUGAAGGAAGAGACAAGAUCAUAUCAAUCGCCAGUGAAGGAUUCAUGUGGUUGUUGCCGUUGUGAUAAAUGUUGGUGUAGUGUAAAAUUCCUGAGCUAGACAUUAUGGUACAAUAUUAAUUUUAGGAUUGUUGCCAAUCAUACCCGUCUGUAGCUAUAUCACAUUGCAAAAUUCCAUGAACAUUUGGUCCACAUUAUUUCUCUGUUAUAUUGUUCCUACCCAAGCGUGGAUGCAGGUGGACGUGGGCGCCGCGGCUGCCACCAAGGAUGUAGGGGUCACUCUACAACCGGUGAGGAUAUGGUAGGCGCGCCAACCGCACUAUAGCCUUACAGUUUUCCUAACUUCUAUAGGUAUGCGAGGUCAAUUUAAUAUUCACAUAUAUGCUGAAAUUUUGACUUCGAAGGACCAUCACUGAAGUUAUAUGCUGAAAUUUUGACUUCGAAAAACCAGCACUAAAGUUAUAUGAAGUUUCUAGCUAUAUCAUUCUUUUUAGUACUACUGAUUAAUUCCCAUGAGUGCCAAUGGUGAGAUUUUCAGGCGUAAAUACUGGAUGUGAUUCUCAUUGCUGGCAAUCUUCAUGAACUUAUCAAGGAGAACAGUGCAAUACUAAUUGUUGCACAGGUGUUCUCAACACCGGCUAGCAACAAGACAGAAUGAUUGUUUAAUGCUCACUGUUGUGUAAGCUUGAUCCAAGAGGAGCUUCUCAAUGUUGUACAUGUAGGCCGUGAGGAACAUAAAUAAUACCUAUUUGUUCACUCUUUUCCUGUACCUAUGAAUCAUCUGCCACCGUUUAGUAGAGUUCAGUUAUGUGCUUCAAUAUUAGGAAGUCAUCAUCUUCUAAAACAUAUUGUUGCCUACUCAAACAUAUUUUGUUCCUUUUUGAUUCCAACAGAUUAUGUAUAAAAACACGUGUACAAUAAGCGGCAGAACCUGCAUUGGACCGUCCUCAUUUGCUAUGUCCAUUUUUUCCAAAGAAAUAACACUUCUGCAGUCCUACGCAUUCAGAGAUACGAUUUAGUGUGCUAUUACAAUCCUCGUAAUCGCACGCUAUAUUUUCUGUGGGAAUUUCUGUCAUCCAUUCUGAUUUUGAGGCAAAUAUAUUAGUUAAUUUUUUUUUAUUCUAGCAAGGUACCAGAUACAUGUUAUGAAAUUCUCCUUUGCCUCUUCCAGGUAACAUAGGCAGGAGGGAAUUCAUUUAUCAAUAAAAAUAAAUUUGUCUGAGGGGAUGUUAUCUUAUCUUUCCAGUAUAACCAAAUGAACACUAUGAUGAACUUAACAUCUCUCUAUCAUUAUUUCUCUAAGAUGCAAGCGAUAUAAAAUUUAAAAAGCCCGUGGCAACGCACGGGCAGUCUACUAGUAUAUAUAUGUGACUCACACAAAUAUUAUAAAAUUAUUUUUUUAAGGAAAGGUCAUUAUAACUAGCUUUAUGGGUGACCCGCGCAUUUGCGCAUCUAGAUUUUCUUUAUUUUAUAUUACAUUUGUAUUUCUUUCACGUAUAUUGUAUUUGAAUUGGUGUAGUGAUAUGCUAUUGUGUAUUUUACAUAAAAUUAAAUUUCUUUUUAAUUUCAUUAUUUAUUCUAAAUUUUGUCUGGAAAGAUAGGUUCCAUUUGGACACCAUAUGAGUCCGAUACUGCUAGCGGUCUUGAGUAUUUUAGAGGCUAGAUUAUUUUUCAAAAGAUUUCUAUCUAAUACAUAAUGAACCAAUAUGAUUUCAUUGUUUUCUUAUCAGUAGGCACGUCACUUUUGUUUUUGCCUUUCCUUCAAACAAUGACUUAGAUGGCGUGGGUUGAGUAGCCAACUGCAAGGUUAGUUAUUCUCUCGCAUUCACUGUCCUUAUAGCUUUGUUCUUACUUUUUUUAACGCGCCUACGUUUUUUUUGCAAUAAUACGUUACUUAGAAGAGUUGAACAUUCACGAAUCUCACUGCAUUGUUUGCUUUUUUUGGUACAAUAUGCUUGCUUGCGCAACAAUAACGUGUUGCUAUUGACCCAACUAUUCUUCUCAUCCAAUGCGAUAUAUGUCAUAUAUGUGGUUCUUGUACAUGUAUAUAUUCUUCGAUUCCUCCUAGUCUAAAUGUCAGUUGUGAAACCAUCUAUGACAUCCAAUUGUUUUCUUUGUUGCAUAGUCUGACAACCUAUUUGGCAUGAGUCACUUCAUCUUUUUGCUACUCUUUUUUUUCNNNNNNNNNNNNNNNNNNNNNNNNNNNNNNNNNNNNNNNNNNNNNNNNNNNNNNNNNNNNNNNNNNNNNNNNNNNNNNNNNNNNNNNNNNNNNNNNNNNNNNNNNNNNNNNNNNNNNNNNNNNNNNNNNNNNNNNNNNNNNNNNNNNNNNNNNNNNNNNNNNNNNNNNNNNNNNNNNNNNNNNNNNNNNNNNNNNNNNNNNNNNNNNNNNNNNNNNNNNNNNNNNNNNNNNNNNNNNNNNNNNNNNNNNNNNNNNNNNNNNNNNNNNNNNNNNNNNNNNNNNNNNNNNNNNNNNNNNNNNNNNNNNNNNNNNNNNNNNNNNNNUAUAAGCCAUUGUGAACCGUGUUUAUGACCCUCACUAUUUUUUAGAGGCACUCAGCUCGUCUUUCUCUGCCUUUGACUUUUUUUUUCUUGUUCUGUUAAUUGUAUAAGUCCAUGGUAUGUAGAGUAUAACCAAAGUGUUCAUAAAAAAAUCUCACACAAAGAUAAUAAAAAUUGGUGAUCACUGGACAAAAAAGAAUAGGUGAACUGAAUCAAGAAUUGGACGUAUCUUUGCUAUACACACUUCUUUACAGAACAUGUUGAUCGCUGGACAAAAGAGAAUGUCUGGUGAUCUGAAUAAAAUAAUUUUAUGUACUCUACAAAAAAAUGUACAAUGUAUAUGAAAAAAGGCAUGUGUUAAAAAAAGUACAAAGAAAAGUAAAGUAAAACAAGAAAAAGAGAAAACAAACUAAACAGAUAACGAAAAAUGAAACCCAAAAGAAACAUGUUCAAAACCAACACAGCAAACCAUUGAUAGCCGACACCGAAAAUUGAAAAGAUAAAAGAAAAAAAGGAAUCCAGAAAGGAAAAACAGAACAAAAGCAGGAAAACCCGACAAAUAAAACACACAAAUGAAAUAAUACCGCCGAAAGGUUCUAGAACAAGUCCAUAGAACCUUCCUAAAGCCCUUUUAACGGGCCAGAGGGGAGGCUACCGUAGUGUCCUGGGUUUCUUCUCCCCAAUUUUCGGAAGGAUCUAGAACGAUUUUCCUUCUUACUGCGUUCUUUCUUCAGUUUUCUUCGUUUCUUUUGUUUUUUUUUUGUCCUUUUUUUAAUUUCAUGACCUUUUUAAAAAUUCAGAACAUUUUCUCAAAAUCCAGGAACAGUUUGGGAAAAAAUACCAAAUUUUUGAUCAUUUUGCAAAAUUCAAGGACAUUUUCAAAAUCAGAAACAUUGUUCGAAUUUAGGGAGAAAUUUCUAAUUCAUGACUUUUUUUUCAAAACUUGCGGCAUUUUUAAGAAUACGAUGUGUUUUUAAAAUUCAUGGACAUUUUUAAGAACAAUUUUCCUUCUUGAGAACAUUUUCUAAGAAUAAGAUAUAUUUUCAAAAUCCCAGAAUUUUAAUAUCUCAGAAUAUUUUUCAAACUUGGUAUUUUUUCAAUAUGGUAGCAUUUUCCAUAAUACAGAAACAAUUUUCAUAUUCAUGAAUAUUGUUUAUAUCUAGGAUCAUUUUUCGUAUUCAUUAUUUUUUUUGGAAAUCCAGAACAUUUUGCAAAAUUUUGUGACCCUUUGUUAAGUUAAAAAAAAGAAACACUUUUUUUAGAAGAAUGAAAAAAAAACACUUGAGCAGCCCGCACUCACAUGAGUUGACCUAAUGCCAGUUCAAACAAACAAUUGUUUUUGAGGACCUAUCCAAGCAACAGUUACCAUACAGUUUUCCUCCUCGUGUUUGCCUAUGGGUCGGCCAAUAAGUCUUCCCGAGGAGUCAGUUUUACGAAAAUUCUAUGACCGGUUCGGACCUAUCUUAGAAGCUUCCGUGUAGUUUUCUCUCUAUGAAAUUUUUUGUUUUAGUUUUCAUCAAUUUUUCUUUCGAGUUUCGGUAUUCAAGAUUUUUUCUUUGUUUUUUUUAUUUUCCUUCUUCCUUUGUUGUUCUUCCUUUUUUUUCUUUUUCAACACAUGCCUACUUUUUCCAUUACACAUAGAACAUUUUUGUAUACAUGUGGAACAUUUUUAUACAUGUUGAAAAUUUUUCAAACACAUGAUAUAUGUUUCCAAAUAUAUGUUUUGAACUUUUUUUCAUGGCAUGAACAUUUUAUUAAAACAACGGGAACAUAUUUUUUUACAUUGUGUAAACUUUCUUUGAUAAUUUCACAAAAUAUUUUGUGUAACAUGUCACAUUUUUUAAUGGUAUUAAACACUUUUUAUUGCAAGAACAUUUUAUUUAUAUUGUACAAAUAUAUUAUGAAAUGUCACGGAGUUAUAUUUUAAACAUGUGAACACUUUCUACAUGCCACGUAUUUUUUAACGGUACAAAAUGGUUUUUACAUAGUACAAACUUUUUAAAAAAUGCCAUGAAUAUUUUGUAAAAUUUGUGAACGUUUUUUAACUUUCACGUUCAUUUUUCAUGGCUAUCAACUUUUCUUUUUCAUUACACGGUCAUUUUUUAGAAACUGUAUCAACUUUUAUUUUUCAUUACACGGUCAUUUUUUAGAAACUGUAUAAAGCCUUUCUUUAAUGUCACGAACAAUUUUUUUGAAAUGCGUAAAUUUUUUUCUUAAAUAUACGAACAUUGUUUCUGACACAGUUGACCUUUUCUUAUAUGGGAGAACUUUUUUUGACGUGCAUGAACAUUUACUUUGAAAAUCCCAAUGAAAAUAUGCAAACAAAAGGACAAAACAAUUGAGCAUUUGCUUCACUCGCCUUUUGCUUUUUUAUCGAAGUGUGUUGCUGGCCCUUUUUCCGAGAGGAAGUGUGUUACUUUUAGCGGGAUUUGCGCUUUUUGGUCUUAGUUAUCUUGCUUGGGGCAUGUCCCAGUGCCCACGCAUAGCAGGCGAAGCCGUUGUUAGGACUCACAAGAAGCGGGGCACGGCCGUAUCGCCUAACGCGAGCUGUAGCGCUCGCUCGCCUCAGGGAUCGCAGUAAAUGGGUCGGCCCAGGUAGGUAGUUCUCCCUUUUUUUUCGCAUUCUCACUUUUGCCUUUUUCUUUUUUUAUUGUCGCUUAUAUUUCGAAAAGUUCUAAAUAUAUCUAUUUUAAAAGGGAAACACUUGCCUUCAACCUGUCGAUUUCAGGUGAGCAUCUGUUGCCUUGCUGUCCAUCGGAUUGGCUCUUCAUCGAACGAUCGGGAGCCAACCGCCACCUACUCCAUAUUCAUGCAACUUCACCCAUGUUUUAGAAGGCAAGACUGCUACUAGGCCUUUGCUGCAAACCGACUAGGGGGCUAGUUCCUGCAGCGGCUGGGACUGGGGAGGGCAACGGCGGCUGGAUCCCACAACAGCAUUGUUAGAGGCCUACCGGAACGACUGGGCACAGAACCCCUACGGUGGUGAAGGCGACCAAGUUUCUGACGGUGGCGGCGUUCUGGACUCAUCUAGGUACAAAUCCAGAAACAACCGCAAACAUGACUGACCUCCACCACCAAGUUCCACUACCUGGUUGUCGACCACCAUCGCAUCGCCACCAGGAGCUCCCCGCCACUGCGCAAAUCGCCUCUGUCUGGCGUCUGCGAGCGUCGCGACCCAGCGCUGACCUCUGGCUUAACCACCUCGAACUCAUGCGUGUAGUGAAAUCCGCAUGCACCUGCCAGGCUGUGUGGCCAACAACGACGAAGUUGCAAAGGGCGAUGGCAACAAUGAUGGUGGUGUUGUGACAUCAUAUUCCAUUGCAAUAAAUUUCUACAACAUCAUCCUUCUUGCAAAAGGCCUCCUGCAACAUAUCUAUGUUGCAAAGAAAGUGAAGACAUUUUAUUUCUUCUACAACACAACCUCUGUUGCAAUGGUGAGGAAGGGGUAGGCUGUCGGAUGGUAAUAGAUCUAAUGGUUGCGGAGGCAGUGGAUCUUUUGAAAAUAUCUAUCCGUCGACGCAUAGCACUCCCCUUACAAAAAUCACUUUACAUAACGAAAUAAAUAAUGUUAGUCGUGUAUUAAAAAUGUUUAUCAUGUAUACAAAUAAUGUAAAAUGCGUAUGCAAAAGUAUCCGCAAAUAAUAUAAUUAAAAAUGUUAACCAUGUACUUAAAAUGUUAAUUAUGUGUUUUGAAAAUAUUAAACAUGUUUAAAAAUGUUUAUGAUGUAUAAAAAAUGUACAAAUGCGUAUGAAAAAAAAGACAGCAUAAAUAUAUGUGUUUUAGAAAGUUAAUCAUGUAUCUAAAAAAUUUUAAUCAUGUAUUUCAAAAUGUUAAACAUGUGUAAAAAGUGGUCCUGAUGUACACCAAAAAUGGAGAAUGCAUAUGGUAAAUGUCGACACAAAUAAUACAUGCUUAAAAAUGUUAAUUAUGUAUUUAUAAAAUGUUAAAUGUGUAUAUAGAUAAUUUUCCUGGUGUAUACAAAAAAUGUAGAAUAUGCAUGAGAAAAGUGGGCAUAAAAAAUAUAUUUUAAAAAAGGCUGAUCUUGUAUUAGAAAAAUGUUAAAUGUGUAUAUGAAAAAAUUUAAAUGUGUAUAUAGAAAAUACUCCUGAUGUAUACAAAAAAAUGUAGAAUGUGUAUGAGAAAAGUAUUUUUUAAAUGCAAUCAUGUACUAGAAAAAUAUUAAAUGUGUAUAUGAAAAAUGUUAAAGUAAUAUUAAUAAUAUUCGUGAUGUAUAUAAAAAAUAUACAAUGUAUCUGGAAAAUGUAUAUAUAAAAAAGUGUGUAUAUAAAAAAUGGAUGUAUUUAAAAAAUUUCAUGUUCUAUACAAAAAGGAAAUUAAAAAAAAGAAGAAAACCAACAAAUAAAUAUAGAAAACAAUGAAAAAUAUAAAAGAAACUGAUGAACAAGAAACAAUAAACAAAGGUUCCAAAAACCGUAAACAAAAACACAUAAAAAUUGAAAGAAAAAGCCAUAGAAAUCAGGAUUAAAAUGGUGAAAAAGAAAGUGAAACAAAGAAAAGGAUAGAAAAAUAAUGAACAUCAAAGAAAAGAAACAAAUAAAACCAAAGAAGAAAAGAAAGAGAAGGAAAAACUAGUGAAACUGAGAAAAAACUAAAGAAAACAGAAGAUAUAACGAAGAAAAAAGAAAAACGGAAGAAACUAGGUUAAAAACAAAAAGAACUGAAGAAAAAAAAGAAACAAAGAAAACCAGAUGUAAACCGAACCGACAGCGAGCGAGAAGACUGCACUACAAGGGCCGGCCCGCUCACGCUCAUCUAUAGCGAGACAACCUACCGUCUCGCUACAGGCGAGAAAUAGCUCUGGCGGUCGGCAAGAACGACAGAAGCAACCUCCUGGACAAACGGGACCACUAGUUAACGAGCGCUCCUUCGGGAGCCUCGCAACGAUCAGCGCUACUUGGCGCGCUCUCAGCCAUUCGCCACGUGUCGCAUUUCGGGCGCUCCCUUCGGAUUUUUUUAAUUUUUCCGCACGCAUUUUCGGCUAUUUAAACAGUUUUUUUCCGAGUUUUUUUCAACAUUUUGGUUUUCGACCGGUCUUCCUUAGCUUUCCGACAAAAAAAUUUUGCGCGAUUUUUUUUCCUUUCGCGAGUCAUGUUUUGCUUCUGCGAGAGGCACGGUUUUGCUUUCGCGAGAGUCACGGCCGUGCCUCUCGGAAACGAAAAAGAACGCGUUUUCUAUUUUUUUUUCCUUUCACGAGAGUCACGGUUUUGCUUCCGCGAGAGGCACGGGUGUGCUUUUGCAAGAGUCACGGCCGUGCCUCUCGAAAACGAAAAAAAACGCGUUUUCUGUUUUUUUUUCUUUCGUGAUAGUCACGUUUUUGCUUUCGCGAGAGGCACGAGCGGCCGUGCCUCAUCCGAAACGAAAAAAAUGUGUUUUCUCUUUUUUUUUCCUUCCGCGAGAGGCACGGUUGUGAUUUUGUGAGAAGCACGGGCGUGCCUCUUUAGGAAAGGAAAAAAACUGUGCUCCCGGUUCAGUUCUUUCGUCCGUUUUUUUGUGAAAAAAAGUUCGUCAAAACCUAUCAACAUGAGAUCUAGUUUUGAAGAUCUCGAUGCGAGGAAUCUAACGGUAAAAGCGGUUCGAGAUUUGGAUGCACAGUUUGAGAGAUAAAACGUUUUGAAUAAACGGAUCUAUGAAAAAAAGAGAAAAUUCCCCGGUUGCGACAAGUGACGCGUUGCACGUGCGCCACUUGUCGCAAUCUGGAAAGUUGAAGUGAUCUUUGCAACGAGUACUCCGCAAUUAGUGAUUUCGUGGAUAAACUCAUGGAUCGUGGCCUCUCCGAGCCCGCUUGUGCCUUAUGUGAGUAGAAUUCUUCAGCCUGCACAAAAUUAGGCGUGUCAGAAGUUUUGAUAAAGGACAUUUUCUAUUUAGUCAUAGUGUCCGCAUGUUUUCUGGGAAUAGAGGAGUACGAAGUGAAAAUUAUGGAAUGAAUAAAGCAUUUCUUGUUGUGUUCUGUUGUUUGUAUUGGCCCUCGUAGUGGGUAUAUAUAGUGUACAGUGGGGGAGAGGGACUUAAAGUACAAGGUAGGUAACGCGUGAUUAAAUCAAUUCUAUCUCUAUGUCUUCUUAUAUUUAACUGAACCCAAUUAUACCUCUAGCAUUGGGACUAAGUAAAAAGUUGUUGUAGAACAUAGCUUAAUUUUUUAAGAAAGAGAGUGUAUAGUGUAAAAUCAAUAAAAUGUAUGUAAUCUAAUAAGAGAAACAACUUGCAUGCUUAUAAGUAUUAGGAUAUAAUCUAUACCGAAAAGAAGCUACCUUUUUUUACAACAACUAGGAUGAAACCCAAAGUAGUACUAUGCAAGGACUACAAUAGUCAAGAAAAGAAAGAGGUAGGUCACAUCAACAUUGUGAUCUGUAGUCAGCAUGCAUGCAAAAAAAGGUGGGAUUUCCUAAGGGAAAAGGUGUUGGGUCAGAUGACUACAAAAUCCAACAUUCGGGUGCAUAGUUUAACAUAAAGAUUCUUGCUACUGGUGAAAGCUCUUGGCACUGUCGCGUGCUGGCUUGGCUUUUUGGAAACAGUAGUGCACUGUUCUUGGAAGCUGCCGAGCUUCCAACUGGCCACCAAACAUUGAUGCACAUGCCCAGCUUCCAACUCUAUGACCAAACAACUGUAACACCUACCAUUAUUAGUAUGUAGUGUUGUGAAAUGUCAUAUGUUGGGAGGGAAAUAUGUAAUUUUAUUUUAUUUAGAUAUAAUUAAAAUUCUAAUAUUCAUUAACUUAGUUUCUUUAAGGUAGAUCGAUACACACAGCGAGGAGGUCAAAAUGUUUCCGGAGAAACGUAUACAUACAUGGAAAAAAAAUACUAAAUCUGCUAAUUUCAAGAUAUUUCCUGAGAGCAUUUUAAUCUACGUAAAGACCGAAGUAGCAAUAUAAUUAAUUGUUUGUAGAAGUGCAAUGUUAUUUUUUACAUUUGAAACAAGGAAAACAAUCCGCUCCAGUUCUCCGAUCUUUAUCUUCAUGAAAUUAAAUAAGUUCUAGUCUGAGCAAUGAAGAGCGUACUAAGUCCUGAGAAACAUGUACAAUUCUCGGCUAGGUCGGCUUAUGCGGCCAAGUUCGCGACGAUGGAGGUCUCACCUACCACGGCAUUCUCUUGGAGUUCCCGAGCGCCAUUAAGUUGCAGGUUCUUCGCGUGGCUUGCAUUCAAAGACAGAUGCUGGACUUCUGACUGGUAGGGCAACGGGGACUUCCGCACCAAGUCGGCUGCCCUUUCUGUGACCAGCAUGACGAGAACAUUAGUCACCUUAUUGCCGGCAAUGUGUUUGGCAGAGAGGUCUAGACCAAGGUUUUCACUGCUUUGGGAUUGGUGCAAGGUGUGCCCCCAUGGUGGAUGAAUCUAUUGAGGGUUGGUGUGCUAGCCAAGGGCAGUUUGGGCUACAGACGAAGACGAUUCGUGCUAUCGGGAUCCUAGUCAUGUCGGUUGAGGGUGCAACGCCUUGCGUGCAGCAGGUUUUAUGAGGUUUUGCGAGUGAGUGCAUUGUAUGGAACCAAGCGGGUUUUAUGAGGUUUGCGAGUGAGUGCAUUGUAUGGACCAAGCGGGUAUUCUGCAUGGUGAGCUCGAGUCUUUCCUGGCGUUAGUUAGACGGUGGGAGUUUAGGGGAAAUACCCAAUGGUACAUUGGUAUACAGUGACACAGCAGAUUCCGGGGGUUAGUAGUUUAUGCAGGGCCUAAAUGUUCGUCAGGCUAAAGGAUUAAUGGAUAAGAUCAAUCGAGGCAUGAUCUACUGCUCAUGUCCAGAGCAGAGACAACUAUUUCCCAUCCAUGCACUUACCAUUUUAGGUGAACGUAAUACUUUCCCCUCAAUUAUUACAAAUUAGUCUUGAAAAAAAAUCAUUUUAACAAAUUAAGUAUGGAAUCCCAUUUAAUAAAACUGUUAAGAGUAUAAAUCCACCUUGCGACCAGUAAAUAUUUUCACGAUGUACAUAAUCACUUCUAAUAAAUAUAUUUGAAUUAUAAAAAAUAUGGCAACAUCAUUUUCUCAAUAAAAAAGCUUGUACAUUUUUUAUCUUAGAAAGAUCACUAUUCUCAAACUAAAUUAUAACGUGCAAACAAUUACUUUCUCAGUUCAAUAAUAUAUUAAUUACUUUGUUCAUCAUUAACUGCAGAAAAAAAACGCCAAGGUACUCGCUUUUACGGAAAUAUAGUCACAAGCAUAAUUCCUGCCAGGCAAUGCAGAUGCAUUUAACUAGCUACUGCUUAAAACAUCCCACCAUCCAUGUUAUAUAUUACAUUUUUCCUUCAACCGUUUUGACAGCUACUAAAUCAUUCCCUCUGGAUUGGACUGACUAGGCAUUUAGGCGGCACACCAAUAUUUCCAUCCAUCGUGAGCACCAUGUGGACAAUGUAUUCCCAUAUCUUCCUCAACCCAUCCUGUAUAUGUUACAAAUUUGAGUAUUUUUGGUAACAUAAUUAAACCAAAAUUAUGAAUCUAUGUCCUACCUUACUACAUCCUUAUGCCAGACCAGACCCCAUGUAAUUCAUAAUGCAGUGCAGCAUGUAGAAUGAACUGUCGAAUCUGCCAGGAAAAAAGAUUCGAAUAAUUAAUGGUAUAAAUAUAUCACAUGUUCAUUUGCGAAUUCAGUUAGUACCUGUUGUUACCAGUACCACAACAGCCUGCUUUACUGCUUGCAGACUUCUAAUGGGCAAGAAUCCUUAACAAGAUAUAUCGGGUGACAACUACUCAACCCAUCCCCAGUGAACAAAUCUCUCUUAUCGGGCUCCUGUGCAGAUCUAGGAGGAUCUACCACAACCUGAUAUUUUUUCGAACAUGUUACUCAUGAAACAGAGCUAUGUCUGUAAUCAUGUCUAAUAUCCAAAUCAACGAGACAUAAAUUUCUGACCUUUGAUGCAGACGGUUCCACCAUUGCAUCCACCACCUUGAGCUUCCUUCUGCUCCCUUAGCCACUGAAUGCCUGUUUGCUUGACUUGGGAGGAGGACUAUGUUCAGAAUGAUGGAUGGAUUCAAUGUUCGCUGUAGCUUUAGACUACCCAUAAUGGGAGUAACAUAGGUAGUAACAUCACCCAUAUCUAGAUAAAAUAGAUGAUGUGGCAAGCAAUAAAUGAAGAGAGAGAGCAAAGUGGUAACAUAGCUAGUUACUAGUAGUAUGAGUAACAUCACACAUAUUAAGACAAGAUGAGUCUAUAGCUUAAUAAAGAAAGUGUCGCAUGUUACUACACAUAUGUUACUCCCCACUAUAAAGGUAAUAACAUAGACUAGUAACAUAUGCAUGUUACUAGUCUAUGUUACUACCCAUUGUGGCUAGUCUUACCCAAACAAUUCCACCGACGCCCCAAUUCAAUGAUGACUAACCAACCACCAGAAUUUACUAUCCUUCCAUUUUGUUACUGACCAAACUAAAUAGUGCUGGAUUAUGCUUUUAAUAAUAAAAAUAGUGAUUACAUACAAACGUUAACAGCAUGCAUGCAACAGAGGUUUUUUUCUUCUUUGUUUCCACAUAAAUAAUUAAAACUUUUUUUCCGUCACGACAUCAUGUUAUUGCAUGUAUCAUGUUUGGAAAGUUUCUGUCCUUUGGAUGUUUAAAAUAACACACCUUGCCAAAGUAUUAACCUUGUCUGAACCGCAGGCAAAUACAUGAUGGGUGCUAACAAAGUGUAGUUUGUCCGACUGCUAACAAAGUGAAGUUUCAGCCACUGCUCUGACAGAGACAUAUGGCGUGCGCAGAGUUUGCGUGUCCCAGCUCCACUGCAUUUAACCAUACGGAAGGCGAACCGCGUUGGGAACCUGCUGUGGAUGCUGUACCAUCCUGUUCUAGGCCUCGUACAUGACUGUUCUGCAGGUGUAUACUCCUUUAUCCAACUUUGGGUCCACACCGUAUAAAGAAAAACACUACUACCUCCGUCCCGGUGUAUAAGUCAUUCGCGUAGUUCUAGGUCGAUAAUUUAACUAUCUGAAUAUGUAUUAUAUGUGACAAAAAAUAUAUAUUUAGAAACUACAUCCGUGUGGAAAUCUAGUGGUAUACUUUUCAUGACAUAUAAUACAUAUUUAAUUCCUCAAAUCGAUGACCUAGAACUACGCGAAUGACUUAUACACCCGGACGGAGGGAGUACUUUAACUACACAUCGUGAUGCACUUACUGACGAAUAGGAUACCGGGGACAUAUGUCCCCAUAGACCACAAAUUCGCCUCCGGGAGUCUAGCGAGUAGUCCAGUUAGUUCCGUUUUUCGUGGAGUGGUUGAGGCUUGCAUUUAAUAUUGUUAUGUAAACUCUACUGUGGUGGGGCUCUUCCCUCUUUUUCUUCUAUAUAAUAGAUGAUACGUACACUCAUGCGUAUUUGAGUAUAAAAUAAUUGGUCCGAAAAAAUAACUAUGACAUAGCCGCGGUUAAAUAAACAGUUGACGCUUGGGAUUAAUCGUCACUCCACACUUGAAACCACAAAAAUCACAACACCUCUACACCAAAGAACAGAAGCCCUCACUCUCCUCUCGCCGUUGAAUAAUUAGGUGCAUUUUGUACAGAACCACAUGAGCACAAAGCCAAACCAACCUUUUCUAACUGACCAGUAAUAAUCACUCACUGUCCUGCGGCUUGGGGAACGGCACGUUCAUAUACUUGUAGGUGGUGAACCCACCGUCCACAACCAGGUUGUGGCCGGACACGUACUUGCCGUCGUCGGAGGCGAGGUAGACGGCAGCCCUGGCCACGUCCACCGCCUCGCACGCAGCGCCCUUGAGCUCGCCGAGACUCCGGAUGAUGGCCGUCACCGUGGCCUCGUCGGCGCCCUGGAGCAUCUGCGAGAACUGCCGCACCACCAUCGGCGUCGCGACGGCGUGUGGCGAAAUGCAGUUGACGCGGACGCCGUGACGGGCGAGCUCCGCGGCGGCUGUCCUGACGAUGCCGGCGAUGGCGAGCUUGGAAAGCGAGUAGGGAUACGAGCCAAGGCUCCCCAUGAUACCACUGAUGCUGCCCAUGCAGAGGAUGGAGCCGGAGCCCGCCGGCGCCAUGACGCGCGUCGCGUGCUUGAUCCCUGCCAGAGUGCCGCGCAGGUUCACGCGCAUGAUGUCGUCGAACUGGUCCAGGUCCAGGGUUGCCAUGUCCGAAGUGCCGGAGAGAGAUCCCACGAUGCCGGCGCUGUUGAACAUGACGUCGAGCCGGCCGUGCCUCGCGACGGCGGUGUCCACUGCCCCGGCCACGCUGUCCUCGAGGACGACGUCGCAGUGGACGAAGUGGGCCUGCGGGCCGAGUUCCUCGGCUGUUUGGAGGCCCAGCUGCGAAUUGAUAUCGGCGAGAACCACGCAUGCGCCCUCUUGGAUGAACUCAUGGGCUGUGGCCUUACCCAGCCCACUUGCUCCUCCGGUUAUCAGUGCAGUCUUUCCCUCCAGCCUGCACAAAAUUAGAGGGAAUUUGCAUGUUAGACUAAAAAAAAGAGAUGAAAUUUGCAUGUUUUCUUGGGGACUGAUUGAAAAAUUCUGGAGACUAGAGUUUAUGUUUUUUUUUGCGAGAAGAACUUCCAGAUAGCAUGGAGACGAUUUUUGGACAAGCCAAUCAAUGACCGGUAGUUCAACGAAUAUUAAAAAUGAUAAAAAUUACAUCAAGAUCCAUAGACCAUCUAGCAACGACUGCAAGCACUGAAACGAGCACUGCUAUGGACAUGAUAGCGUGGAGACGAUUUUUGGAUGACAAGCCAAUCAACCCGUCCAUGCAUCACAACAAAUGGCAGCAUAUUGUCCAUAUUGUUUGUCGUGUGCACAAUAAUUCCGUGUAUCAAAUAUAACCUUUUACUACUAAAUGUGAAGUGGGAUGGACAUUAAACCAUAUCCCUCCUUCCAAAAUAGAUGACUCAACUUUAUAUUAACUUUAAUACAAAAUUAGUACAAAGUUGGGUCAUCUAUUAUGGAACGGAGGGAGUAUUUUUAAGAGCCAGACCAGACAUUCGGUUUGAAUGGAAAAAAAGCCAAAACUGGCGCCUUUUCAGAUUCUUUACAGACCGGGACAAGGAGGCCAGCCCAAAAAUUUCCAGUAAGACCAUCAAUUUUUAAAAGAGCUGGCGCGCUCGAACCAGACGGCUCUACGGCACAUUGGGGGUCGUCCUAUAAAUGUUGCUAAAAUUAGGUGGCGUGAAUGGGACCAAUUGGACUUUUAGUUCAGCAUAGUGGCUAGUUGGGCUAGCUUGUCUUCUUGAGCACACACAUAUUUGACUGUAUUUCUCUAAAAAAAACAUAUUUGACUGUAUUUGUCCACUUAAAAAAAUGACUGUAUCUGUACAUUUUCCUAAUGAGAUUGAAUCCAAAAAAACCCGCCUAUGGGACAAGUGAAAACAUGAAUCGACAGCUUCACUAGUUUGGUCGUCGGUCCGGUUUUUUAAAAUAUGAAUUAAAUUAACAUGAUGUAACAAGGUAAAAUCAAUAGAAUGUAUGUAGGCUACGAAGAGAAAUAUAGCGUGCACGCGUACAAGCACCAGGGCAGAUAUGCAGUUACUCACACAAAAGAAGCUGCCAUCUUUUUUUGUUCGAGUUAGGCAUCUUUUACAGCAAUAAGUAUGAUUCCCACAGAAAAAAAGCUAGGAUGAAAUCUGAUUUGAUAUGCAUGGAGUCAAACAGUGAAGAAAAGAAGGAAAAAGGAGACACGGACAAUCGUGAUCUGUCUGAGAAAGUGAUCAGCAUGCAUGCAAAAAAAGGUAGGAUUAUCUAAGGGAAAAGGUGUUGGGUCAUACGACUACAAAAUCCAGCAUUCGCGCG
rnacentral:lncRNA from 1 species